rnacentral:lncRNA from 10 species
AUCUCUUGAACCCGGGAGACGGAGCUUGCAGUGAGCCGAGAUCGCGCCACUGCACUCCAGCCUGGCGACAGAGCGAGACUCCGUCUCAAAAAAAAAAAAAAAAAAAGUCUGAGCAUGGUGGCGUGCACCUCUCGUCCCAACUACUUGGGAAGAUCCCUUGAACCCAGGAGGUGGAGGUUGCGGUGAGCUGAGAUCGUGCCAUUGCAUUUCAGCCUGGGAGACAGAGCGAGACUCUAUCUCUAAAUAAAUAAAUAAAUAAGUAAAUAAAUAAAUAAAUUAGUAAAUAAAUAAUAGUCUUAUAAGAAUUUUUUUCUCAGUGAGUUUGUUUGAAGGAAUAAAUUAUGCUUCAAAGUUAGGGGAAAAUAAUGUCAGAAGUCUAAAUGUUCUUCUGUUUUGGUCUUGCUUAUCAGACCAAGGUUGUUGACCUUGAUAACCACUGAAGAUCCUUACAGUUUACAGAGUCAUUUCCUCAAGUUUUCUAAGUGGCCGAUCAGAGAUAAACCCCUGGAGAAAUAUCUGAUGUAUGUUUCUCGCCCGGGUGACCAGCAAAAUGUGAUAGAAUAUUGCCUUUUACCGGCCGGGCGUGGUGGCUCAUGCCUGUCAUCCCAGCACUUUGGGAGGCUGAGGCGGGUGGAUCACUUGAGGUCAGGAGUUCAAAACCAGCCUGGCCAACACGGUAAAACCCCGUCUCUACUAAAAAUACAAAAAAUUAGCCGGGCACCUAUUAUCCCAGCUACUCGGGAGGCUGAGGCAGGAGAAUGGCGUGAACCCAGGAGACGGACCUUGCAGUGAGCCGAGAUCGCACCACUGCACUCCAGACUGGGCGACAGAGCGAGACUCCGUCUCCAAAAAAAAAAGAUUUGUGUGUAUCUCUUCUAACUCCAACCUGUCACCAUUUUAGAUCCAAAUGCACCAAUCAGGAAUCUAAGGAUGAAAGAAAAGGCUCAGCAGUUGAUGUGGGACCUGAACAGAAACGUGACCGACGUGGAGUGUAUCAAAGGCACCGACUAUUCUAUGCCGGCAAUGAACAACAGCUAUUGCCAGUUCGGAGCCAUUUCCUUAUGUGAAGUGACCAACUACACCGUCCGAGUGGCCAGUCCCCCGUUCUCCACGUGGAUCCUCUUCCCUGAGAACAGUGAGAAAAAUGUUCAUUGUGUGUCUGUUCUUUCCGUCUGUUCCCUCCCUCUCUCCCUCCCUGUGUCUGCCUUAUCUGUCUUCUUUCCUUCCUUCUCUUUCUCUUUCUUUCCCUCCCUGCCUCACUCCCUUCUUUCCUUCUCUUCUUCUCUCCUUCCUUCCUUUCUUUUUUCUUUCCUUCCUUCUUCCUUCCUUUCCUUUGCUUCUUCCUUCCUUCCUUCCCUUUCUUUCCCUCCCUGCCUCACUCCCUUCUUUCUUUCUCUUCUUCUCUCCUUCCUUCCUUCCUUUUCUCUUUUUUCUUUCCUUCCUUCUUCCUUCCGUUCCUUCCUUUCCUUUCCUUCUUCCUUCCUUCUCUUUCUCUUUCUUUCCCUCCCUGCCUCACUCCCUUCUUUCCUUCUCUUCUCUCCUUCCUUCCUUCCUUUUUUCUUUCCUUCCGUUCCUUCCUUUCUUUCCUUUCCUUCUUUCCUUCCUUCCUUCUCUCUUUCCCUCCUGCCUCACUCCCUUCUUUCCUUCUCUUCUUCUCUCCUUCCUUUUUCUUUCUUUUCUUCCUUCCUUCUUCCUUCCGUUCCUUCCUUUCUUUCCUUUCCUUCUUCCUUCCUUCCUUCCUUCUGUUUCUUUCCCUCCCUGCCUCACUCCCUUCUUUCCUUCUCUUCUCUCCUUCCUUCCUUCCUUCCUUUUUUCUCUUUGCUUUUCUUUCUUUCCUUCCUUCUUCCUUCCCUUCCUUUCUUUCCUUUCCUUCUUCCUUCCUUCUUUCUAUUUCCCUCCCUGCCUCACUCCUUUCUUUCUCCUCUUCUCUCUUUCCUUUCUCUUUUCUUUUCUUUCUUUCCUUCCUUCCUUCCAUUCCUUCCUUUCCUUUCCUUCUUCCUUCCUUCUCUUUCUCUUUCUUUCCCUCCCUGCCUUACUCCCUUCUUUCCUUCUCUUCUUCUCUCCUUCCUUUCUUUUAUUUUCUCUUUUCUUUUCUUUCUUUCCUUCCUUCUUCCUUCCUUCCUUCUUUCUCUUUCUUUCCCUCCCUGCCUCACUCCCUUCUUUCCUUCUCUCCUCUCCUCUCCUUCCUUCCUUCCCUCCCUCCCUCCCUUCCUUCCUUCUCUCUGUUGCUCUUUCUCUUUCCCUCUGUCUUUCUCUUUCUCUUUCUCCGCGUCCCGGGUUCAGGCGAUUCUCCUGCCUCAGCCUCCUGAGUAGCUGGGAUUAUAGGCGCCCGCCACUAUACCUGGCUAAUUUUGUAUUUUCAGUCGAGAUGGGGUUUCACCAUGUUGGUCAGGCUGAUCCAAACUCCUGACCUCGUGAUCUGCCCGCCUCAUCCUCCCAAAGUGCUGCGAGUACAGGGGUGAGCCACCACG